UGAGCUUGAUUCCUGGCUCAGGACGAACGCUGGCGGCGUGCCUAAUACAUGCAAGUCGAGCGGACCAAAGGGAGCUUGCUCCUGGAGGUUAGCGGCGAACGGGUGAGUAACACGUGGGCAACCUGCCUGUAAGACUGGGAUAACAUCGAGAAAUCGGUGCUAAUACCGGAUAAUAAAAAGAACUGCAUGGUUCUUUUUUGAAAGAUGGUUUCGGCUAUCACUUACAGAUGGGCCCGCGGCGCAUUAGCUAGUUGGUGGGGUAACGGCUCACCAAGGCGACGAUGCGUAGCCGACCUGAGAGGGUGAUCGGCCACACUGGGACUGAGACACGGCCCAGACUCCUACGGGAGGCAGCAGUAGGGAAUCUUCCGCAAUGGACGAAAGUCUGACGGAGCAACGCCGCGUGAGUGAUGAAGGUUUUCGGAUCGUAAAACUCUGUUGUUAGGGAAGAACAAGUGCCGUUCGAAAGGGCGGCACCUGACGGUACCUAACGAGAAGCCCG
rnacentral:rRNA from 1 species